AUGGAUAUUCUUUCUAGGGUGAUAACAAGGGUCAAGUGUUCUUGCUGUGAGAGAAAGGCAGCAGAGCUGGGCAGUUUUGUAUGCUGUGGAAUCUUCUCGGGUCUCACUGUGUGUGUUCAGGGGAAUGUGAUGAACUGGGAAGAGGAAGACCAUCAUUGCAUAACUUCCACUGAUGGAGUCUGCACAGGCAAGCCACCACCAUUCCAUAUCGUGGCUUUUAUGUGCUGGCUCAUCCUGGUUUCCGCUGUUUAAUGUGUAAUAUUUCCUCUCAUGCUGCCUUCCAGUAUAAAAGCAAAGGAUUUAAUCUCUGCAUCCCAGAAGCUGGAGCUGGUAGAGAAGAAUACAUUGUGAUGUGACAUCUGUCAGACAGAAAGGGUGACUAGAACAUGGUGACAUUAUGGGUAAGUCACUUGUCUUCCUGCAUCCUUAUCCAUUAAGGGUGAUCACAUUAUCCAGUCUUUUGUUCAUCAGCAAACCUUUGAGGCAUCAAUGCCUUGUCAUCUCAGAUGGAUGGUAGGACCAUGUACUUUGCAGUAAAUUAUAUUAUAUCAGCUGUUCCAGGACUUCCUGGUCGGUGUUAUACUGGAGGUACUCUGAUUUGGUGAGUGCCUGCAUGUUUAAACUUUCUGAUAUUACUGUGAAUAUAUUCCCUUCACUUGAACCCUUCUAAGAACAGAGUUUCCAACACAUUUUCUCUAUGUCUAAAGAGGACCACAGCAUAUCCCAUCCCAUUAUAUUUCUUGUUUGAACCAUCACACAGAACUGAGAAAUGUGAAGACAAAAGGCAAAUGUGUGCCUUUUUCAUCAUUUGUUUCUAAUACUGCCUCUGUGCACCGACCUGCAUGGAUUCGAGCCUGGAUCCUCCUCCUUUUCGAGAGUCCAGAGGAGCUGGGAACAGCAGCUUCAAAUAGGCAGACUGCACACACAGGCAGGGUCUGUGCACUCAGUGGAAAUCUGUGACUGGGAACCUGUCCUGAAUCCAGGACCUGUUCUCCACCUUUUCCGGCAACACCUCUCCCUGCUCCUUAGCCACAAUUUCUUUUCAAGUCUUGGGUUCCAAUCCCAAAUGCUCUCUUGGAGUCUGUGAUUUUCCCAGUUCGGGCAGAAGCUCUAGACCUUCCCCUGGAGAUUAAAAUGUUUUUAACUGUGGGAAUGGAAAAAGAGUUUAUCAUGCCCUCUCUUUCAGGGAUUCUCUAUGCCUGAGUCUGAGAUGAGGACUCUGAAGCAGGGCAGAGAAGAGUCAGUGAGGGGAGGCUGGGUAUUCUGGUGGGGUGUGGAGGAAAGGUAGGUGUACCUGGGAGGUUGUGACUUCUCUAACUACCUUGCCUUUAAAUACAUCUGAAUAUGCCCCCUAAUCUGUGACUUGCCUUGUUCACAGUUUAAUCUUCUAAAGAAAUUCCUGUUGCAUGACUCCAUGCCUGAAGUCUUGGGUCUUCAAAAACUAUCUCCAUCACAAAGAUUUCUAGGUUGAUCUGUAACAUUCACAAAAAUUGUCUGACCCCCAGGCUUUCUCAACUUGUAAACAAUGAGCCUCUAUUUGUGCUCAUGUCUGUAGCCUCACCCUCCCCACACAUAAGCCAUGGCUGGUUCCCUUAAAGUAGUCUUGAAGCCUCUUUAAUGGAAUAUUUUUUUAUUUAGUGAAUACUUUAUUAGUUUUUGUAAUCAAACCCACAUAGGUAAGAACUUACAUAUUUAAUAAAGAACGUUACCCCUGUACA
rnacentral:lncRNA from 1 species